rnacentral:lncRNA from 1 species
AAACACGGACUCUCCUACCAGUGGCCACUCCCCCAGGGGUGGAGACCACACUCCUGGAGCGGGCAGUGGGCCAGAGAGCAGCCGGCAGCCUGGACGGACUCAGGGCUGGGCUCUGAGCCCUUCCGUCACCGGGAGAAAGCUGGAGGUCUCCAGUAUCCUGGGACCCCACUCCCCCACCCUCACAGGCACUGUGCUUCUCAGGGUGCUGAGAACCUUCCCCGCGGAUUCUCUUGGGUGAAACUCACAGUGGCCUGAGAAGAAAGGCUCAUGGGGAGACUUAGCUAGCUUCACAGAUGGAGUUAAGUGGGGAGAGGGAGGUAAAUGGAAAAGCUCUUUGCAAACCUAACUGCAUUUGGUAAAUUGAAAAAGGGCUUUCUAAACCGUCUGUGGGGCACAUAAUAAAGUUCUUUGUGUGGAGC